rnacentral:rRNA from 1 species
GACGGAAGGUGCAAGCGUUGCUCGGAAUCACUGGGCGUAAAGGGUGCGUAGGCGGCCGCGCAAGUCUGGCGUGAAAGCCCCGGGCUCAGCCCGGGAAGGGCGCUCGAAACGGCGCGGCUCGAGUGCCGGAGGGGAGAGUGGAAUUCCUGGUGUAGCGGUGAAAUGCGUAGAUAUCAGGAGGAACACCAGAGGCGAAGGCGGCGAACUUGACGACAACUGACACUCAACUGCGAAAGCGUGGGGAGCAAACAGG